ensembl:lncRNA
CAGAGAGAGUACCAGGGUUAAGGAUAGCUGUAACUGGUGUGGAAUGGAGGGAGGUGGAGCAGAGAGAGGGUACCAGGGUUAAGGUUUGGGAUAGGUGUAACCGGUGUGCAAUGGAGGGAGGUGGAGCGGAGAGAGGGUACCAGGGUUAAGGUUUGGGAUAGGUGUAACCGGUGUGGAAUGGAGGGAGGUGGAGCGGAGAGAGGGUACCAGGGUUAAGGUUUGGGAUAGGUGUAACCGGUGUGGAAUGGAGGGAGGUGGAGCGGAGAGAGGGUACCAGGGUUAAGGUUUAGGAUAGGUGUAACCGGUGUGGAAUGGAGGGAGGUGGAGCAGAGAGAGGGUACCAGGGUUAAGGUUUGGGAUAGGUGUAACCGGUGUGAAAUGGAGGGAGGUGGAGCAGAGAGAGGGUACGAGGGUUUGGGAUAGGUGUAACAUGUGAAAUGGAGGGAGGUGGAGCAGAGAGAGGGUACCAGGGUUAAGGUUUGGGAUAGCUGUAACUGGUGUGGAAUGGAGGGAGGUGGAGCAGAGAGAGGGUACCAGGGUUAAGGAUAGGUGUAACCUGUGUGAAAUGGAGGGACGUGGUGCAGAGAGAGGGUACCAGGGUUAAGGAUAGGUGUAACCUGUGUGAAAUGGAGGGAGGUGGAUUAGAGAGAGGGUACCAGGGUUAAGGUUUGGGAUAGAUGUAACCGGUGUGGAAUUGAGGGAGGUGGAGCAGAGAGAGGGUACCAGGGUUAAGGUUUGGGAUAGGUGUAACCGGUGUGAAAUGGAGGGAGGUGGAGCAGAGAGAGGGCACCAGGGUUAAGGACAGGUGUAACCUUUGUGAAAUGGAUGGAGGUGGAGCAGAGAGAGGGUACCAGGGUUAAGGAUAGGUGUAACCUGUGUGAAGUGGAGGGAGGUGGAGCAGAGAGAGGGCACCAGGGUUAAGGACAGUGUAACCUUUGUGAAAUGGAUGGAGGUGGAGCAGAGAGAGGGUACCAGGGUUAAGGAUAGGUGUAACCUGUGUGAAGUGGAGGGAGGUGGAGCAGAGAGAAGGUACCAGGGUUAAGGUUUGGGAUAGGUGUAACCUGUGUGAAAUGGAGGAAGGUGGAGCAGAGAGAGGGUACCAGGGUUAAGGUUUGGGAUAGGUGUAACCGGUGUGGAAUGGAGGGAGGUGGAGCAGAGAGAGGGUACCAUGGUUAAGGUUUGGGAUAGGUGUAACCGGUGUGGAAUGGAGGGAGGUGGAGCAGAGAGAGGGAACCAGGGUUAAGGAUAGGUGUAACCUGUGUGAAAUGGAGGGAGGUGGAGCAGAGAGAGGGUACCAGGGUUUGGGAUAGGUGUAACCUGUGUGGAAUGGAGGGAGGUGGAGCAGAGAGAGGGAACCAGGGUUAAGGAUAGGUGUAACCUGCGUGAAAUGGAGGGAGGUGGAGCAGAGAGAGGGUACCAGGGUUUGGGAUAGGUGUAACCUGUGUGAAAUGGAGGAAGGUGGAGCAGAGAGAGGGUACCAAGGUUAAGGAUAGGUGUAACCUGUGUGAAAUGGAGGGAGGUGGAGCAGAGAGAGGGUACCAGGGUUUGGGAUAGGUGUAACUGGUGUGAAAUGGAGGGAGGUGAAGCAGAGAGAGGGUACCAGGGUUAAGGAUAGCUGUAACCGGUGUGGAAUGGAGGGAGGUGGAGCAGAGAGAAGGGGGAGUCAGAGAGAGGGUACCAGGGUUAAGGUUUGGGAUAGCUGAGCAGAGAGAAGGGGGAGUCAGAGAGAGGGUACCAGGGUUAAGGUUUGGGAUAGGUGUAACCGGUGUGGAAUGGAGGGAGGUGGAGCAGAGAGAGGGUACCAGGGUUAAGGAUAGCUGUAACCUGUGUGGAAUGGAGGGAGGUGGAGCAGAGAGAAGGGGGAGUCAGAGAGAGGGUACCAGGGUUAAGGUUUGGGAUAGGUGUAACCGGUGUGGAAUGGAGGGAGGUGGAGCAGAGAGAGGGUACCAGGGUUAAGG